rnacentral:rRNA from 1 species
GGGUGAAGUCGUAACAAGGUAACCGUAGGGGAACCUGCGGUUGGAUCACCUCCUUACCUUAAAGAAGCG